rnacentral:rRNA from 1 species
GAUCAUGGCUCAGAUUGAACGCUGGCGGCAGGCCUAACACAUGCAAGUCGAGCGGAUGAAGAGAGCUUGCUCUCUGAUUCAGCGGCGGACGGGUGAGUAAUGCCUAGGAAUCUGCCUGGUAGUGGGGGGCAACGUUUCGAAAGGAACGCUAAUACCGCAUACGUCCUACGGGAGAAAGCAGGGGACCUUCGGGCCUUGCGCUAUCAGAUGAGCCUAGGUCGGAUUAGCUAGUUGG